UUCCCUUCUAGUUUGAUCAAUUCCAUUCUGAUCUGAUCUUGGGGAAAGCCACUAUCUACUGAGGGUCUCCCUUGGGUGCCCCGGCCUUGUGCCGGCCCUCAAGUGUGAGGAACCCCUCACUAUCUGAACCAGAAGAGUUUACCAUCUGGCACUUCUGGUUCCAACGGCACCUUCUGGCACACUUCUUUUAAGAGGUGGCUGUACUUUGAGGCAGCAGAAUGCCAGAGGUAAAGGUGCUAUUCAGUGUACUGGAGGAGUACAUGAAGGAGAACACCUUCGACGAGGCCAUUCUUGCCUAUUAUG